UUGACUGGACAGUUCUAUGUAAAUAUUUAUAAAUCGCACAUUAAGCGAACUUGUUUACGAGUUAAAAUCCAAAGGUCUCAGCUGUAAGAACCACAAGAAAAGAUAAAAGAGACCUACCUUCAGAAUUUCAACCUCAUAAACGUCGUGAGGUAAACUGUUUUCUUUUUGGGUUCACUCAAAACAGAAUAUUGGUAUCGUAUGAUCCCAAGAAUUAUGAUCCCAUUAAUACAAAUAUGUAUAUAACAAAACAAAAAUGAAACGUAUUCUUUUCAUUUGUAAUUUUAAAUAACGCAUAGAAAACAUAACGCAUACAUGGACACCAUAGGAAAGAAUUUAUGAAGUUUUAUCUUACUCGGGAGUCAGUUUGCCUGAAUAUCACAAAAUCCAUUCACCUUAAAUUUCUGGCAACGAGAACUCUUCAAAUUUCCUAAAAAAUGAAUUUUAACAGACUUUUUUUUCAAUUUUUUAAAUUUUAACAGGCAAUGUAAUAUUUUAACAGAUAAUUUAACAUUCUAACAGAAAUAGUAACAAGGGAAAGAUAGCGUGUGCAAAAAUGCGUGAAAGGGCAUUUAGAAAAAUCGAAAUAAUUGGAAAUAUAAUUAAAAAGUGAAGAGAAAAUAUCAUGGGUUUCAUGCCUGGAGCAUAAAUGUGAAAAAUUUCCGCUUUUGUAACAAAUUCUACAUCCUUUUCUUUUUUUGUUUAAAUUGAGGUGUGCAUUGAAUUUCAUGACAAAAUAAUAUAUAUUCAUAUAUAAAUAUCAAAAAUAGUAGUCAUUUUCCUUAGUUUAUUUAUCAAAAUGUCAUUUCUUUAUAUUAUUAUGAUACAAAGAAUUAUAUAUAUAUAUAUGAUGUAUAAUGCAAAAUAAGGAUAUAAAAAUUAAAAUUGAUUUCACAAUUACACUUGAAUAUGGUAUGAAAAGUAAGGUUUGAAAGAAAAUUUCAGAUACAUUGAUUUCCGGAGUUAUUUAAUUGCUUUUCAUGUUUAGUUGUAAAUUUCCACAAUUGGCCAAAUUGCAAAAUUCAUGCCAUUGACAUUAAGGAAACAAUAUAGAGUGUAAUAAAAGGAAAACAAGAAAAUACAAAUUCUGACAGUGAAUUUAGUAAAAAAUCAAGAAAAAGUAAAACAGACGUUAGGAAACUAUAGCAAAAUAAAAGAAGCUCGAGAGGGCAGCGGUAACCAUAACAAUAAGAAAGAAACACAAGAGAAAGGUCACUAAAAUAAAUUACAAAGUGUAAAAUAGCAGUAGAAGACAAAAAACAAAUAACAAGUAGGAGCAAGGAAAAUAAGUUAUACAAAAAAGGAAAUGAAGAAAUGAUUUUAAAUCAAACCUUAAAUCCUACAGAAAGUACAUAUAAUGUUGAAGGGAACAAAGAAUAUGAAAGACAAAUUAAAGAAGGUAAGAAAAAUUUAUCAUUAAUUAAGAGAGAUUUUAUAUUAUAAUAGAAAGAUACCAGAAUAUAGAAAAAGGUAGGAGAAAAGAAAAGAAAAUGAGCAGAUGAACAAAGCAAAAUGGGCAGAAGAAAGAAGCAAACUAACAAAAAAAAGUGAGGUAAUAGAAGAG